rnacentral:rRNA from 1 species
CCCUUCGGGGUUGUGGCGGACGGGUGAGUAACACGUGGGAACGUGCCUUUAGGUUCGGAAUAGCUCCUGGAAACGGGUGGUAAUGCCGAAUGUGCCCUUCGGGGGAAAGAUUUAUCGCCUUUAGAGCGGCCCGCGUCUGAUUAGCUAGUUGGUGGGGUAAUGGCCCACCAAGGCUACGAUCAGUAGCUGGUCUGAGAGGAUGACCAGCCACAUUGGGACUGAGACGACGGCCCAAACUCCUACGGGAGGCAGCAGUGGGGAAUCUUGCGCAAUGGGCGAAAGCCUGACGCAGCCAUGCCGCGUGUAUGAUGAAGGUCUUAGGAUUGUAAAAUACUUUCACCGGUGAAGAUAAUGACUGUAGCCGGAGAAGAAGCCCCGGCUAACUUCGUGCCAGCAGCCGCGGUAAUACGAAGGGGGCUAGCGUUGCUCGGAAUUACUGGGCGUAAAGGGAGCGUAGGCGGACAUUUAAGUCAGAGGUGAAAUCCCGGAGCUUAACUUCGGAACUGCCUUUGAUACUGGGUGUCUUGAGUGUGAGAGAGGUAUGUGGAACUCCGAGUGUAGAGGUGAAAUUCGUAGAUA